CCUGUCAAAAAUAAAACUAUUGAUCUUUCCUAUCCUCUAAUCCCAAAUUUGCUCCUCCCAAAUUUAAACCCAGGUGAGUAAUUCCAACUCUGUUCCUCCCAUAGUUCAGGCCAAAACAUUGCCAAUAUCAUGGAUUUUGCCUCUAAUAUACAGGGUUCAAAUAUAUCUUGUUUGCAUAGAACAAUUUCAAUUUAUAAUUUACAUAGUUUAUAGUUUAGAACAGCUUCAGCAAUAGUUUACACGAUAGUUUCCUCACUAAUUUCCCUGUUUUCUCUUUUGCUAUGCUAUGGUCUAUUUUCACAGAUCAGUCAAACUGUUACUGCUAAUUAUUUAAAGAGGCGAUUGCUUUUCUGUUUAAAACCCUUCAUGGCUGCCAAUUAAAUAAACAAAAGUUCUUACCAUUUUCUAAGAAGCUUUAUGUGACCAUCUCCCCAUGGAGUGUGACCUCAUGUCCUCUGCUGUAUCACAUUGGCAUCCUUAGUGGAACCUCACGGGAUGCAAAAUUUUUCCAAGGGAUGUGCAUCUGCAGACAGUUUUAAGGGACUAUUGUCAAGAACUGUGAAGGAUCUGAGCUUACAAGUUAGCCUGCUUCAGUUUUAUGGAUGCUGGCAGAAGACACAUAAGUGUUUGGUCAGAGACAGAAAGACUUCCAUUAUUUGCAGCACAGCACAGAGUUGCACGAGCUUCAUCUUUGCUCUGGUUGAUGCUACACACAGUUUGUGUCACAGAUGAAGAACUCCAAGUAAAGGAAACUUAAAUCUUUAAUAAAUGAGCAGUAAGCACA